UACAGAGGGUGCAAGCGUUAAUCGGAAUUACUGGGCGUAAAGCGUGCGUAGACGGUUAUGUAAGUCGGGUGUGGAAGCCCCGGGCUCAACCUGGGGAAUGCCAUUCGAGACUGCAUAGCUAGGGUGCGGAAGAGGGAAGCGGAAUUUCAGGUGUAGCGGUGAAAUGCGUAGAUAUCUGAAGGAACACCAGUGGCGAAAGCGGCUUCCUGGUCCAGCACCGACGUCAGGCACGAAAGCGUGGGGAGCAAACAGG
rnacentral:rRNA from 1 species